UACGGAGGGUGCAAGCGUUAUCCGGAUUCACUGGGUUUAAAGGGUGCGUAGGUGGGCAGUUAAGUCAGUGGUGAAAUCUCCGGGCUUAACUCGGAAACUGCCAUUGAUACUAUCUGUCUUGAAUACCGUGGAGGUCAGCGGAAUAUGUCAUGUAGCGGUGAAAUGCUUAGAUAUGACAUAGAACACCAAUUGCGAAGGCAGCUGGCUACACGAAUAUUGACACUGAUGCACGAAAGCGUGGGGAUCAAACAGG
rnacentral:rRNA from 1 species